CAAGUAGGGUAGUGAAAUCGUGUGGGCUCAACCAUACUCACAUUAUCUAAACUGCUAAGCUAGAGUAUAUGAGAGGUAGUUGGAAAUUCCUUGUGUAGGGAGUGGAAUCCGUAGAUAUAAGGAGGAACACCGAUGGCGUAGGCAGACUACUGGCAUAUUACUGACACUAAGGCACGAAGCGUGGGGAGCGAACAGGAUUAGAUACCCUGGUAGUCCACGCCGUAAACUAUGGAUGCUA
rnacentral:rRNA from 1 species